rnacentral:tRNA from 1 species
GCAGUGGUGGUUCAGUGGUAGAAUUCUCACCUUCCACGUGGGAGAUUCGGGUUCAAUUCCUGGCUAAAGUA